rnacentral:lncRNA from 1 species
CCAUCACCAAACUAAUUUGAAAACCUAGACUAUGGCUCCUCCUACCACCCUCAAUGCUGCUCCACUUGAUAUUGUUGAAGUCAACCAGAAAGGAGUAAAACACCAAUCAGAGCUUGCACCCUACCAAUCCAUUGUGACACCCUCCUCCAUCUCCACAAUCCCUAUCAUCAACCUUCAUGGCCUAGAUGACCCAUUGUACUAAAGCUAGCAUCAUAAAGGCUAUAGAUAAGGCU